CAGACAUCACUCUCAUAGACAAACAAAACAAAGUUACCUACAUUAUAGACAUCUCAAUCUCCAAUACACACAACAUCCGGGAUACAUUGACUCAAAAAAUUUGCAAAUACACAGAACUCUCACAAGAAAUUAAAUAUCUUUGGGGGAUGCAAAAGGUGGUCACAGUACCCAUCAUUCUAUCCGCAUCAGGAGUAAUUCCUCAUGCUCUACACAAAAGCCUCAAAACACUAGAUCUACAUCUCAAGACAUACAUAACACUACAAAAGGCAUCAUUACUCAAUAUAUGCAACAUAGUAAGAAAAUUUCUCAGCACUGACACACAGUUAGCUACUUGUAAUGUUUAUUUGUGUUAUGUCUUGACUCUUGUCCAACAUAGCACUUUACUCCGGAGUUAUUCCAUGCUGACAUUGAUAAACAUAAUAAUAAUAAUA
rnacentral:lncRNA from 1 species